GAUGAAGAACGCAGCGAAAUGCGAUAAGUAAUGUGAAUUGCAGAAUUCAGUGAAUCAUCGAAUCUUUGAACGCACCUUGCGCUCCUUGGUAUUCCGAGGAGCAUGCCUGUUUGAGUGUCAUGAAAUUCUCAACCUUUUCAGCUUUCUUUGUUGAUCAGGCUUGGAUGUGGGAGUAUGCGGGCUUCUCAGAAGUCGGCUCUCCUGAAAUGCAUUAGCGGGACCUUUGUUGCCUGGCUUUGGUGUGAUAAUUAGCUACGCCAUUGUAGUCAAGCAGCUUAAAAUGAGGUUUCAGCUUCUAACCGUCUCCCCUGAGACAACUUUUUGACAAUUUGACCUCAAAUCAGGUAGGACUACCCGCUGAACUUAAGCAUAUCAAUAAGCGGAGGA
rnacentral:misc_RNA from 1 species